AGUGAACGCUGGCGGUAGGCCUAACACAUGCAAGUCGAACGGCAGCACAGUAAGAGCUUGCUCUUACGGGUGGCGAGUGGCGGACGGGUGAGGAAUACAUCGGAAUCUACUUUUUCGUGGGGGAUAAUGUAGGGAAACUUACGCUAAUACCGCAUACGACCUACGGGUGAAAGCAGGGGAUCUUCGGACCUUGCGCGAUUGAAUGAGCCGAUGUCGGAUUAGCUAGUUGGCGGGGUAAAGGCCCACCAAGGCGACGAUCCGUAGCUGGUCUGAGAGGAUGAUCAGCCACACUGGAACUGAGACACGGUCCAGACUCCUACGGGAGGCAGCAGUGGGGAAUAUUGGACAAUGGGCGCAAGCCUGAUCCAGCCAUACCGCGUGGGUGAAGAAGGCCUUCGGGUUGUAAAGCCCUUUUGUUGGGAAAGAAAAGCAGCAGGUUAAUACCCCGCUGUCCUGACGGUACCCAAAGAAUAAGCACCGGCUAACUUCGUG
rnacentral:rRNA from 1 species